rnacentral:rRNA from 1 species
AGGCAAGGGCCGGGGGUGCUAAUACAUGCAAGUCGAGCGAACAGAAGGGAGCUUGCUCCCGGAUGUUAGCGGCGGACGGGUGAGUAACACGUGGGUAACCUGCCUGUAAGACUGGGAUAACUCCGGGAAACCGGAGCUAAUACCGGAUAGUUCCUUGAACCGCAUGGUUCAAGGAUGAAAGACGGUUUCGGCUGUCACUUACAGAUGGACCCGCGGCGCAUUAGCUAGUUGGUGGGGUAAUGGCUCACCAAGGCGACGAUGCGUAGCCGACCUGAGAGGGUGAUCGGCCACACUGGGACUGAGACACGGCCCAGACUCCUACGGGAGGCAGCAGUAGGGAAUCUUCCGCAAUGGACGAAAGUCUGACGGAGCAACGCCGCGUGAGUGAUGAAGGUUUUCGGAUCGUAAAGCUCUGUUGUUAGGGAAGAACAAGUGCGAGAGUAACUGCUCGCACCUUGACGGUACCUAACCAGAAAGCCACGGCUAACUACGUGCCAGCAGCCGCGGUAAUACGUAGGUGGCAAGCGUUGUCCGGAAUUAUUGGGCGUAAAGGGCUCGCAGGCGGUUUCUUAAGUCUGAUGUGAAAGCCCCCGGCUCAACCGGGGAGGGUCAUUGAAAACUGGGAAACUUGACUGCAGAAAAGUGAGAGUGGAAUACCACGUGUAGCGGUGAAAUGCGUAUAGAUGUGGAGAGAACACCAGCGGCCAAGGCGACUCUCUGGCCUC